GCCUUUUGGGUUUCAUGUAGAACCCUCUGUAGAAAGGGUUCUACAUGGAACCCAAAACGGUUAUGCCUGGAACCAAAAAGGGUCAUUGAAAGGGUUCUCCUAUGGGGACAGCCGAAGAACCCUUAAAGGUUCUAGAGUUUUCCACAACUACAUGCUUCUUGCAGUUGUCAUCACCAUCUUGUUGAAUGUGUUCCUGUGCGCAGAUCAAGUUGAAUAUACCCAUAGCCUCAUGGUUUUGUUUGUUGACCAAUGCAGCAAACUUUAUGGAAAAGAACAAGUGUCAUAGAACAUGUAUGGAUUGGUGCACCUUCGCCAAAAAUCCAAGAAGUAUGGUGCCCUUGACAAAAUCUCUUGUUUCCCAUUUGAAAACUUCCUUGGGCAAAUGAAGAGACUGCUUCGCAAACCUGCACACCCACUGGAGCAGGUUGUUCGUCGACUGUCAGAGAAGAAACUAUACAGAAGAAUGAACACCUCCUAAGCACUGUCCCUGAGAGAGCACAACAGCAGUGACAAAUCAGUUCGAGAAGUUUUACUUCUGAGAAUUUUCUGUGAAAAGGUCAGAGGGGACAACUGUGUCCUGUUACAAAACCAGGAUAUUGCUGUUGUACAGAAUGUGGUCGUCGAUGAAAUGGGCAACAAUUUUGGCAUCUACAAUAGGUUCAGGAACAUGGUCGAUUUCUUCACCUACCCUUUACCAUUUUCCAAGACAGGCAUUUUUCACCUCUCUGGAUUAUCAGAUCAUUUCUGCCUCACCAACUCUACAAAUGUGCUGAAGAAAUACUAUCUUCUUCCUUGCCAAGAUGGAUAUGCUGGCUUUCCAUUGAGCCACUUGUAGACAUGGCCUAGCCCUGUUUGUUUCUGUUCGCCUCUCACAAGGUAAAUAUCUUAGGGUUUCAUUGUAUGAUUGUAGUGUAAAUUAUUAUUUAGUCAAUUGUAAGUGGUCUUUAUGCUUAGUUCUUCCUCUUUCUCUCCUGUCUUUAGAUCAUAAAGUUUGUAGUGAUUCAGUUUCUGGAUGAAAAGAACAAACCAUAUGCAGUAGUUCCACAAGUAGGGAUCAAAGAUAACAUCUGUUAUUGGCCACCACUCAGCCACAGAAAAAAGAACAAAUUAAACAAUUUAGCCAUCGAGUGUACGCCACCAGACAGCACCUGGGAAAGAAGCUGCUUUAAGUUCAUGAAGGGAGCAGACAAUUGGGAGACGGCACAGAUGUAACAUGAAAACAUUGAGGUGCCAGUGGACGUUAGAGUAGCUGAGUUAAAAGCUUUUCUUCCAGUCGCACCACCAGUCCCAACAUUGCGGUGCCAGCGGACUGACUACACUUUAAGGUGCCAAGAUUCCAAAUACAAGAAAAGCAUCAUAUUCCCUAGCAUCGUAUUCACCACAGCAGCAUGUGGAGGACAGCCAUGGAGGGUAGAAAUCCGGCAGAAAAACAAAUCACUGAAGGAAGACAGGGCAGAAAUGCAAAGACUCCAGCAGGAAAACAGAACCCUGAGGGAAGAAGUUAAGGUGCUAAGGAGUGGGCAAGCAGAUGUCCACUAUCAUCCCCGUGCCCAAGAAAGGGAAAGUAACUGAACUGAAUGACUACAGACUUCCGUCAUCAUGAAGUGCUUCGAGAGGCUAGUCAAAAACCAUAUCAGCUCCUCCCUUCCCAACCCUCUCCAACUCACCUACCGCCCUGACAGAUAAACGGACAACUCAAUCGCCAUUGCACUGCACUCCCACACCUGGACAAAAGGAAUGCAUAUGUUCAUUGACUACAGCUCGGCCUUCAAUAGCAUAGUGCCCUAUAAGCUCAUUACAAAGCUCACGGCCCUGGGUCUAAACUCCUCCCUAUGCAACUGGGUCCUGGAUUUCCUUGACGGGGCUCCUCCAAGUGCUGAAGGUAGGCAACAUUACCUCCUUGACACUGAUUCUCAACAUGGGUGCCCCAAAGGGUGCAUCUUCAGUCCCCUCCUGUAUUCCCUGUAUACCCACGACUGCGUUGUCUCACACAGUUCCAACUCCAUCACAAAGUUUGCUGAUGAUACGAUAGUAGUAGGGCGGAUUACCAACAACGAUGAGACCGCUUACAGGGCGGAGGUAGGCACUCUGAUGAUGUGGUGCCAGGUAAACAACCUCUCCCUCAAUGUUAGCAAAACAAAGGAGCUGAUUGUGGACUUCAGGAGGAACCAGGCUGGAUACACCCCCAUCCUCAUCAACGGGUCCACUGUGGAGACGGUCAAUAACUUCAAAUUCCUCAGCGUACACAUCUCAGAAAAGCUGAAAUUGUCUAACUACAUGGACACCAUAGUGAAGAAGGCACGACAGCAACUCUUCAACCUUAGGACGCAGAAGAAAUUUGGCCUGUCCCGAGGGCCCUCACAGUGUUCUACAGGAGCAACACGAGAGCAUACUGUCGGGCUGCAUCACAGCCAGGUACGGCAACUCCAUUGCCGCAGAUCGUAAGGCUCUUCAGAGGGUGAUAAAUGCAGGCGAAUGCACCAUUGGGUGCACACUGCCUGACCUUCAGGACACCUACAACACCAGGUGUCGCAAGAAGGCCAAGAAGUUCAUCAGGGACCCCAGCCACCCAAACCAUGCCCUGAUCUCCCCGCUUCAAUCACUCAGACGAAUGCGGGCUGUACAGGAACUGCAGGCGGGCAGUACAGGAACCCCCAACAGUCUUUACUCUGCCUCCACGACAAUGGACAAUUAUUUAUUCAUCACUGUCACAGUUGUUAUCAUGUAUAUAGUCCUAUUUCUAUUGUUGUUUUUUAUUACCAUUUUCUUGAUUUUAUUUCACUUAGUCCUGCAUGUUGGAGAUCGAAGCCUAAGAUUUUCACUGUACCUGUCACGACUUCUGCCGAAGUCGAUGCCUCUCCUUGUUCGGGCGGUGUUCGGCGGUUGACGUCGCCGGUCUUCUAGCCAUCGCCGAUCCAUUUCCAUUUGUUUUGUCUUGUUUCCCACACACCUGGUUCUCAUUUCCCUCAUUAUGUGUUGUGUAUUUAACCCUCUGUUCCCCCCAUGUCUUUGUGUGGUAUUGUUUAUUGUAAGUGCUUGUGCACAUUUGUUUGACUGGUGCGCGUCG
rnacentral:lncRNA from 1 species